rnacentral:rRNA from 1 species
GACGAACGCUGGCGGCGCGCCUAACACAUGCAAGUCGAACGAGAGAUGAGGAGCUUGCUCUUCAAAUCGAGUGGCGAACGGGUGAGUAACGCGUGAGGAACCUGCCUCAAAGAGGGGGACAACAGUUGGAAACGACUGCUAAUACCGCAUAAGCCCACGGCUCGGCAUCGAGCAGAGGGAAAAGGAGCAAUCCGCUUUGAGAUGGCCUCGCGUCCGAUUAGCUAGUUGGUGAGGUAACGGCCCACCAAGGCGACGAUCGGUAGCCGGACUGAGAGGUUGAACGGCCACAUUGGGACUGAGACACGGCCCAGACUCCUACGGGAGGCAGCAGUGGGGAAUAUUGCACAAUGGGGGAAACCCUGAUGCAGCGACGCCGCGUGGAGGAAGAAGGUCUUCGGAUUGUAAACUCCUGUUGUUGAGGAAGAUAAUGACGGUAC